GUGCUCGCUUCAGCAGCACAUAGACUCAAAUUGGAAUGAUACAGAGAUUAGCAUGGCCCCCGAGCAAGGAUGACACGCAAAUUCAUGAAGCGUUCCCUAUUUUU
rnacentral:snRNA from 1 species